UACAGAGGUCUCAAGCGUUUGUUCGGAUUCAUUGGGCGUAAAGGGUGUGUAGGUGGCGCCGUAAGUCGGGUGUGAAAUUUCGGAGCUUAACUCCGAAACUGCAUUCGAUACUGCGGUGCUUGAGGACUGGAGAGGAGACUGGAAUUCAUGGUGUAGCAGUGAAAUGCGUAGAGAUCAUGAGGAAGACCAGUGGCGAAGGCGGGUCUCUGGGCCGAUACUGACGCUGGAGGAGCGAAAGCGUGGGGAGCGAACAGG
rnacentral:rRNA from 1 species